rnacentral:lncRNA from 10 species
GCAGAUGAUGAGGGAAUUAGCUUUCAGCAUUCGUAAAUUUGUGGCUGGAUCACUUUGGUAAUCUGGUAAAAAGUUAGACAUUUUAGGCUGAGCGCAGUGGCUCAUGCCUGUAAUCUGAGCACUUUGGGAAGCUGAGGUUGGUGGAUUGGAUUGCUUGAGGCCAGAAGUUCAAAACUACCCUGGGCAACAUGGCGAAACCCCAUCUCUUCAAACAAUUAGCCAGGCAUUGUGGUGUGCACCCAUACUUCCAGAUCCUUGGGAGACUGAGCUGGGAGGUUUGCGUGAGUCUGGGAGGAGGAGGUUGAGAUCAUGCCACUGCACUCCAGCCUGAGCAACAGAGGGAGACUCUCUCUCAAAAAAAGUUAUGGACAUUUUAAUCCAAACUGCCAAAUGGUUUUCCUGAAGAUUAAUAAUAGUUAAUGCCCUUACUAGCAGUGAAUAACCUCAUGGAAUCAUACUCUUGCCAACACUGAAUAUUACCAAGAAAAAUAUUUUUGCUAAUCUUAUAUGUGAAAAUAAUAUCCAUCUAUUUUAAAUUAGAAUUUCUUUGAUGAUGGCUUAGAAUGUUCAUUAACUAUGUACAAUUUUUUUGGAUUCUCUGUUCAUUUUUUUUCAUUUAUCUAUGGUGGAUGUUUUUGUCCUUUGUAAGAGGCUUUCUUCUAUAUUAAAGGCAUUAACCCUUUGUCUAGCAUAUUCGUAAAAACUUAGGUUUUUACUUUCAAAAUUAUUGUUAAAUAGUUUAAAUAUAUACAAAGAAAUAGAGAAUAUUUAUAAGAAUUCUGUAUACUCACCACCAGUUUUACAUAUGACCUUAGCCAAAAGGCUGAGAAGCGAUCGCUGCCAGUUUUAAAAUCUUAAAGUUUGCCGUAUUUCGCAAAACAUGUUAGAAGUAAUUGAAUCCCUGGUGGAACUCCCCUCACUGCUCAUUGCCAUGCUCCACUAUUCUUCUGUCUGACCCCAACCAGAAAAGCUUCUCCUUCUCCUUCUCCUCCUUCUUCUUUCUUCCUUCUUCUUUUUUGUGACAGCGCCUCACUGUCACGCAGGCUGGAAUGCAGUGGUGUGAUCAUGGCUUACUGCAGCCUUGACCUCCUGGGUUCAGGUGAUCCUCCCACCUCAGCCUCAUGGGUAGCUGGGAGCACAGGCACACGCCACCGUGCCUGGCUAAUUUUUGUGGUUUUUGUUGAGGCAGGGUUUCGCCAUGUUGCCCAGGCUGGUCUCGAACUCCGGGGCUCAAGCAGUCUACUUGCCUGAGCCCCACAAAGUGCUAGGAUUACAGACGUGAGCCACUGCACCCGAAAAGCCACUUCUUUAGGCUUCUGAUGGUAGUUCCUGUGCAUGUUUUGAUACUUUUACUGCAUACUCAUGUGUCCUAAGUUACAGUGUUGUUUUUUGCAUUUUAUAAAUGUGUAUAAAUGGUAUCAUACUGUAAUAUGCCCUUCAGGAGGUGGUUCUCGUAUUUUUAUUUUUUGCUCCAAAUUACAUUAAACAAUAUUUAUUUUAAAUAAACAAAUAACCAAAUUAAGUUUCUGAAGUUUGUCCAC